CAGACCAGUGGAUGCACGCAGCUCUCUGGUGUUUCAUUGCUGCAUGACCAGCAAGCUCUGUAAGGGAUUGAUGCUUCUCUUCAUAAAUGCUGCUUUGUGGAAGCUGCCUGUCUCCACAAGUGAUGGAAAGUAAACCAUGCAUGAAGAUGAGGCAAUAGCCAAAAUUAAGUAUACACUGCUAAGAGGAUGGAUAAUGCUCAAAGAAAAUGAAAGUUUCUGUAAAUCCUACUUUUAUCUUCUCUAUGUAGAACAAGACUUAGAAGGUCUGUCAGAGACAGACCCCAAUGGCAUUAAUCUCAAGAGGAAAACAGCAAUGCUGCACCCAAGUAAACUGACAUCUCCUCUCAGCAUGGGAUAAUAAAGUCAGUCUUUGCCAUAGACCUACAUCCAGAGAGAGUGAGGGUUGUCAGCACGUGGAGGACUGAAGCAGCACAGGUUACUGCAGGCAUUGGAACUUCUCUCCAUUGAUUUCCACUUGACAGAAUUUCUUUUUUUUUUUUUUUUCAAAGAUGACACAAAAUAUCUUUGGUAUUGUUGAGCAUAUUUAUUUUGCUGAAAAUGAAUUGGUGGUGAAGUCUUUCUUCUCCAAUUUUCCUUGGCAACCCAGAAACUCUAUAAAUAACAGCUUUGGCUAGACUUUUCUUCAUUCUUUUCUAGAGGUUCACUUGUACAGGAAAAUUAUGUACCCAGGCCAUGGAGCAUCCCUUUAAUACAAAAUGUAAUUUUGCAGCAUUCUCCUUGGUGAUGUGACUUCCCUAUGAAACAUCUAUUUCUGUGAGGGUGGGAAGUGUUGCCAGACAGGCUCUCAUAUUGUUAUUGCCUUCUCUGAGUACUUUUUGGUAAUUUCUUAUGUGACUGAUUAAAGCAAAUUGUUGCUAUUCAAUGUACUAUCUUACAAAGGGGAUAUUACCUGUGAUAGUGAGAAAGCUGUACUGGGCAAUUUAAAUUAGGCUGGAAGAGAAAUCAAUGCCUAUUUUCAACUUGGUCCCUCUGUUAGACAUUAGCCAUUAUUAUUAUUCAUAUUUAAACUGCAGAGGCCUUUAAUUUUUUUUUUUU
rnacentral:lncRNA from 1 species